GGCGACCGGCGCACGGGUGAGUAACACGUAUCCAACCUGCCCUUUACUCGGGGAUAGCCUUUCGAAAGAAAGAUUAAUACCCGAUAGCAUAAUGAUUCCGCAUGGUUUCAUUAUUAAAGGAUUCCGGUAAAGGAUGGGGAUGCGUUCCAUUAGGUUGUUGGUGAGGUAACGGCUCACCAAGCCUUCGAUGGAUAGGGGUUCUGAGAGGAAGGUCCCCCACAUUGGAACUGAGACACGGUCCAA
rnacentral:rRNA from 1 species